rnacentral:rRNA from 1 species
AACUUUUAACAACGGAUCUCUUGGCUCUCGCAUCGAUGAAGAACGCAGCGAAAUGCGAUACGUAAUGUGAAUUGCAGAAUUCAGUGAAUCAUCGAAUCUUUGAACGCACCUUGCACUCCCUGGUAUUCCGGGGAGCACGCCUGUUCGAGUGUCA